rnacentral:rRNA from 1 species
AGAGUUUGAUCCUGGCUCAGGACGAACGCUGGCGGCGCGCCUAACACAUGCAAGUCGAACGGAGUUAACUGAACUGAAGUUUUCGGAUGGAUUUUUGGUUAACUUAGUGGCGAACGGGUGAGUAACGCGUGGGUAACCUGCCUUUCAGAGGGGGACAACAGUUGGAAACGACUGCUAAUACCGCAUAAGACCACGGUACCGCAUGGUACAGUGAUCAAAGGAGAAAUCCGCUGAAAGAUGGGCCCGCGUCUGAUUAGAUAGUUGGUGGGGUAACGGCCUACCAAGUCGACGAUCAGUAGCCGGACUGAGAGGUUGAUCGGCCACAUUGGGACUGAGACACGGCCCAGACUCCUACGGGAGGCAGCAGUGGGGAAUAUUGCACAAUGGGGGAAACCCUGAUGCAGCGACGCCGCGUGAGGGAAGAAGGUAUUCGUAUUGUAAACCUCUGUCUUCGGGGACGAUAAUGACGGUACCCGAGGAGGAAGCACCGGCUAACUACGUGCCAGCAGCCGCGGUAAAACGUAGGGUGCGAGCGUUGUCCGGAAUUACUGGGUGUAAAGGGAGCGUAGGCGGCUCCACAAGUUGGACGUUUAAUCUACGGGCUCAACCCGUAUUCGCGUUCAAAACUGUGGAGCUUGAGUGAAGUAGAGGUAGGCGGAAUUUCCGGUGUAGCGGUGGAAUGCGUAGAUAUCGGAAGGAACACCAGUGGCGAAGGCGGCCUACUGGGCUUUAACUGACGCUGAGGCUCGAAAGCGUGGGUAGCAAACAGGAUUAGAUACCCUGGUAGUCC